ensembl:lncRNA
CAGUACAGUAGAUAAACUGAUCAGGACAGUAGAUCACCUGAUCACUGUAGUACAGUAGAUCACCUGAUCACCACAGUACAGUAGAUCACCUGAUCACCACAGUACAGUAGAUCACCUGAUCAGUACAGUAGAUCACCUAAUCACUGUAGUACAGUAGAUCACCUGAUCACUACAGUAGAUCACCUGAUCACUGUAGUACAGGAGAUCACCUGAUCACUACAGUACAGUAGAUCACCUGAUCACCGUAGUACAGGAGAUCACCUGAUCACUGUAGUACAGUAGAUCACCUGAUCACUACAGUACAGUAGAUUCCCUGAUCACUGUAGUACAGUAGAUCACCUGAUAACCGUAGUAGAGUAGAUCACUAGUACAGUAGAUCAGCUGAUCAACGUAAUACAGUAGAUCACCUGGUCAGGUCAGCUGACUGUUGUGAUGACACAGCUCUCCGGUCAGCUGACUGCAGUGAUGUCAUAACAUUCUGAAAAGAACAUUGUACAAAAGUCCAUAAAAAAAAAGGGGUUCCUGUUUAGUGGGACGUGAACCUGACCUCACGGGGACAAAGGGAAGGGUCUCGACCUAAAGCCAUAACUACGGUGAGGACACGGAGGAAUCAAAGGAACUCUUGUGCAAACAUAGAUUUGCACAUGACAGAAACGGUCGCCAGGGCGACAGACGGUUUUUAAUCCUAGAAUCUUCUCCUUUUCCUGCUUACUCCCUGUUGUAUUACUAUUACAUAACUAUUAUAUUACCUGUAGAGUUACUAUAACAUUACCUGUAGAGUUACUAUAACAUUAUACAGAGCGCUACGAGGGCACCUGUCUGCAAACCAGCGGCCCAACCUAGUCCAACCUGGGCUGAACUCUGACAGCUGGGCUGAACUCUGACAGCUGGGCUGAACUCUGACAGCUGGGCUGAACUCUGACAGCUGGGCUGAACUCUGACAGCUGGGCUGAACUCUGACAGCUGGGCUGAACUCUGACAGCUGGGCUGAACUCUGUCAGCUUGAGACGCUCUAAACAGAGGCCUCACCUGAGCCCACUGGUCUGGCUGGUUAACCGGUCUGGCUGGUUAACCGGUCUGGCUGGUUAACCGGCCUGAGGGGUGCACUGGUAACCAGUCCAUCGGAUCGUAGCCUAACUGAGAAUGCUCCCCCCUCCGAAUGGUGAGCGAGGGAUGCGGCCGGACGGAUCAACAUCUGUUUCCUGAUGUUUGUAAACACUUUAAAGGCGGGGCUUAGCGUGGGGGAGGUGAUCUAACGUCCUGAAGGUUUGAGCUGAGCUCCGCUGAAGGAUCGAUGACGAGAGAGGCUGCGGAACGGGGUUAACUCUAGUUGUUCUUUAAAAGGCUUCGUAGUUCAAAUGAGUUUGUUGAGGACCGGACGCUGAGGCGCGUUGUGGCGGAGUCGACCUCGCAGCCAUGACCUGAACCACUCCGAUGAACCCUUCAGACAGCAGGUUCAGUUCAAAGUGCUUUAUGUGGUGUGGCCCUGGCCUUAAUUAGGUUUAUGUUUUUGGCUUCUGGUCGUUAAUUAGAGCACAUCAUUUCACCUUCAAAUUAAAGUCACUAAAUAUGGUAUGACGAGGAUUUGAAAAGUAUUUUAGAUCAGAUAGGACCUUGAUUUCAGCCCCAUUUCAGAUCUAUGUUCAUGUACAUAUGUCUCUCUCUCUGUGUUAAUAUGGGGUUUGAAUCAAUGAGUACUAGUAAUGUUUUUAUACACUCUUUUAUUUUUACAUGGAUGAAGCACAAAUAUUCAUCUGAUGGAUCGAUAAAACACAUUUCAGCAUUAAACGCUGCGCUUUCUUUAGUAUUUAUUACUUAGUGGAUUAUUUUGUCUGUGUUUUUAAUGCCUUGGCUAUGGGCUAGAUAUCUUGCUUUUGGUUUGUUUGUAUAUUCUGGAGCAGCUUUGGUUAUUGAGUUAUGAGUUCCUGUAUAACUUUGGUGUUUCUCUCCUCACUGCCUCCCCUCUAUUGUAUUUUUAUAUAAGAUAUUGCGUUUGUGUAUUAAAUAGUAAGAAUAUCCUCUUUUUUUUUCUCAUGAAGCGCGCUUGCAUUGGUGUUGAUAUUCUGAUGACUAGUUUUGUCGUGAUAAAUGCUAUUUUUCAUGUUUUUUCAUUUUGUAAUUGUCUUGAUCUCAUUGAGAAGCACUGAGGUUUGACUUGAAACAUUCGGCAUCAUGGACUGCCUCGUGAGAUGUGGUGCAAAAUAAAGAUUACUAUUGGAUAAACCCCCCCUCUGUCAUAUCCUGUUGCCUCCGAUGUCAUAUCCUGUUAACAUCUGCGUCCAAUGAGGGAUCGGGGGCGGUCUUCAUCGUAUCCAGAGGUCUUUAUCGUAUCCAGAGAUAACGAUCCAGAGAGCAGGUGACAAGAACAGCCA